rnacentral:rRNA from 1 species
UACGAAGGGUGCAAGCGUUGUUCGGAAUUACUGGGCGUAAAGCGCGCGUAGGCGGGUUUGUAUGUCGAUUGUGAAAUCCCUGGGCUCAACCCGGGAACUGCAGUCGAAACUACAAAUCUUGAAUGUCUGAGAGGAUGGCGGAAUAACCGGUGUAGUAGUGAAAUACGUAGAUAUCGGUUAGAACACCUGAGGCGAAGGCGGCUAUCUGGCGGUACAUUGACGCUGAGGCGCGAAAGCGUGGGGAGCAAACAGG